UCCUUUUAGGGAGAUAAUUUCAGAAACCAUGACUGGUCUGCUAUGGAAGAUCAAGCUAUCAGGAGAAACUGGGCCCUCUGCAGUCAGCUCUUCUGUCAUUUGCAGAAGAUUUUGGAGUAAGAGCUGAAGUGUGACCAUCCUACCUUCACCUUCAGCCCAGUCAUUCUCCCUUGACAUCAACAAGGCAGCUCCCAAUGUGCACAGGAUAACAGCAGCUGCUGGCAGCUCAAUCCUGCAGUCACUGAGGUUUCACCAAUGUCUCAGCAGUUCAUGCAGGACUGAUGAACAAAAAUUCAUAUGGCAAUGGAAGUGCAAAGAGAUCAACAAAACAAUAUGUGCAAAAUUAAAGUCAGAAUGCAACAUCA